rnacentral:rRNA from 1 species
AUGACGUCAAAUCAUCAUGCCCUUUAUGACCUGGGCUACAAACGUACUACAAUGGCCAGAUACAAGAGAUGCGAAGCCGCGAGGUGGAGCGAACCUCAUAAAAAUGGUCUCAGUUCGGAUUGGAGUCUGCAACUCGACUCCAUGAAGUCGGAAUCGCUAGUAAUCGCGGGUCAGCAGACCGCGGUGAAUACGUCCCGGUUU